rnacentral:rRNA from 1 species
UACGUAGGGUGCAAGCGUUGUCCGGAAUUAUUGGGCGUAAAGAGCUCGUAGGCGGUUUGUCGCGUCUGCUGUGAAAACUCGGAGCUCAACUCCGAGCCUGCGUUCGAUACUGGAUGGCUAGAGUCUGGUAGGGGGAUCUGGAAUUCCUGGUGUAGCGGUGGAAUGCGCAGAUAUCAGGAGGAACACCGGUGGCGAAGGCGGGAUCCUGGGCCAGUACUGACGCUGAGGAGCGAAAGCGUGGGGAGCAAACAGG